rnacentral:rRNA from 1 species
GACAGAGGGGGCAAGCGUUGUCCGGAGUUACUGGGCGUAAAGCGCACGCAGGCGGCUGCGCACGUGGGGUGUAAAAGCGCCGGGCUUAACUCGGCGAGGCCAUCCCAUACGGCGCGGCUUGAGCCGUGCAGAGGCCAGUGGAAUUGCCGGUGGAGUAGUGAAAUACGUAGAUACCGGCAGGAACGCCAAAGGAGAAGUCAGCUGGCUGGGCACGUGCUGACGCUGAGGUGCGACAGCGUGGGGAGCAAACUGG